rnacentral:rRNA from 1 species
UACGAAGGGUGCAAACGUUGCUCGGAAUCAUUGGGCGUAAAGCGCACGUAGGCGGCCUGGUAAGUCGGAUGUGAAAUCCCACGGCUCAACCGUGGAAGUGCAUCCGAAACUGCUUGGCUCGAGUAUGGAAGAGGGUCGCAGAAUUCCCGGUGUAGAGGUGAAAUUCGUAGAUAUCGGGAGGAAUACCAGUGGCGAAGGCGGCGACCUGGGCCAAUACUGACGCUGAGGUGCGAAAGCGUGGGGAGCAAACAGG